UAGGGAAUCUUCGGCAAUGGACGAAAGUCUGACCGAGCAACGCCGCGUGAGUGAAGAAGGUUUUCGGAUCGUAAAACUCUGUUGUUAGAGAAGAACAAGGACGUUAGUAACUGAACGUCCCCUGACGGUAUCUAACCAGAAAGCCACGGCUAACUACGUGCCAGCAGCCGCGGUAAUACGUAGGUGGCAAGCGUUGUCCGGAUUUAUUGGGCGUAAAGCGAGCGCAGGCGGUUGCUUAAGUCUGAUGUGAAAGCCCCCGGCUCAACCGGGGAGGGUCAUUGGAAACUGGGAGACUUGAGUGCAGAAGAGGAGAGUGGAAUUCCAUGUGUAGCGGUGAAAUGCGUAGAUAUAUGGAGGAACACCAGUGGCGAAGGCGGCUCUCUGGUCUGUAACUGACGCUGAGGCUCGAAAGCGUGGGGAGCAAACA
rnacentral:rRNA from 1 species